AGGGAUCAUUACUGAGUUUUCAACUCUCCAAACCAUGUGAACUUACCACUGUUGCCUCGGUGGUUUGGGCCUUUACGGGCCUGACCACCGGUGGACUACUAAACUCUUGUUAAUUUUUGGCAUUCUGAAUCAUAACUAAGAAAUAAGUUAAAACUUUCAACAACGGAUCUCUUGGUUCUGGCAUCGAUGAAGAACGCAGCGAAAUGCGAUAAGUAAUGUGAAUUGCAGAAUUCAGUGAAUCAUCGAAUCUUUGAACGCACAUUGCGCCCAUUAGUAUUCUAGUGGGCAUGCCUGUUCGAGCGUCAUUUCAACCCUUAAGCCUAGCUUAGUGUUGGGAGACUGCCUAAAACGCAGCUCCUCAAAACCAGUGGCGGAGUCUGUUCGUGCUCUGAGCGUAGUAAUUCUUUAUCUCGCUUCUGUAAGCCGGUCAGACGACAGCCAUAAACCGCACCCUUCGGGGGCACUUUUUAAUGGUUGACCUCGGAUCAGGUAGGAAUACCCGCUGAACUUAAGCAUAUCAAU
rnacentral:rRNA from 1 species